rnacentral:rRNA from 1 species
UACGAAGGGGGCUAGCGUUGUUCGGAAUUACUGGGCGUAAAGCGCACGUAGGCGGAUAUUUAAGUCAGGGGUGAAAUCCCAGAGCUCAACUCUGGAACUGCCUUUGAUACUGGGUAUCUUGAGUAUGGAAGAGGUAAGUGGAAUUGCGAGUGUAGAGGUGAAAAUUCGUAGAUAUUCGCAGGAACACCAGUGGCGAAGGCGGCUUACUGGUCCAUAACUGACGCUGAGGUGACGAAAGCGUGGGGGAGCAAACAGGG